AAAUCUGAAGUGAUGUAGUAACUAAAACAAUUUGAAGAUGGUGAGAUGUAAUCAGAAGUGAUAUGUGAACUAGAAAUGGUGAACCUUUUCAAAAUUAGGAAGGAAAACGCAUUUCAUUGUUAGGUAAGAACCCUAACUUCAGUAGUUUCAGUGAAAGAAAUAGAAGAAUUAGCGAAAAAAGAGAAGAACAGAUAGAAAGAGAGUAGAAAGAGAAUGAGAAAGAAGAGUUUAGAGAGAGA
rnacentral:misc_RNA from 1 species